ACUCAGCUUGCUCGCUCCGCCACUGGCACAAUGCUCUGGGCAGCGGGGCUGUGAGCUCCUGGGGCAACACAGCUGCAUAGCCCAGCCUGACCCGGUCUCUGUGCUGCGUGGUGGCGGCAGCGGCAUGGCCCGGCUCCAGCUGGGUGACGCAGCUAUAGCGCCACAAGCCACCGGUGCUCCAGGCAGCAUGGGCAAGUCUACACUACAACUGGGAUCGAGGCUCUAGUGAAGACCCACCAAAUCGACAGCAGAUCGCUCUCCAGUCAACCCCUGUACUCUACCCCUGAUGAGAAGAGUAAGAUCUGCCUUCUGAUUGAGGCUGUCGGGUGAGGAUUUCAUUCACCUUGGGAAGAAGAAUUCAAGGUGGAGAAAAAGUGAUCGACAAUCCAAGGAAGAAGGGUGAUCUUGGUUAGACACUAUGUUAUUGCCUUCACCCCCACCCCAUGGACUUCGCCUACUACAUUGAACACAUCCCUGACUUUUCCCUCUGUCCUCCUCGUCGCUCCAAUGGAAUGAAAAUCAGCACUUCCCAAUUACCGCUUUCCAGUUGCAGCACAAUGAGAGCUAUUUUGCAGAGACACACAUUAUUGAAGAAAGCCACACAGAAAUGGGUCCUGCAGCAGAGCCCGUGAGCCCUGCUCCGAUCUCCACACUGUAAAUGCUACAAGCCAGAGAAGGCUGGGGUUCAGUUGGUUCUGGGGGUCCUGUUUCUGAAUGGAUCAUCAUUGAUAAUGCGGGUUGCUGGCAAGCGAAGAGAGCUUUUCGUUACUUUUCUUCUUUACAGAGUUUGUCUGUCUAUCCUCCAGCUAUAUUUGUGUGGCCAAUAAAACGUGAAAAUGGA